UCGGGACCGCGUUCGCAGAGAGCGAGAGCGAGGCGAGGCUCGAAUCGGCGUGAGUUCUUUCUUGGGUGUUCUUCCUUUUUUUUUUCCAGGGAAAAGGAAGAAAAUGGAGAGGAGCACGCCGGUGAGGAAGCCUCACACUUCGACUUCAUAUCUGCUCACGUGGUCGGAGACUCCGCCUCCCCACGAUUCGGUCGCGCCCGGUUCGGCUUCCUCUCGCUCCAAUGCUCACUUUCACCAGCCUUCGGAUGGGAUCAGCAAGGUGGUGUUUGGAGGUCAAGUGACUGCAGAGAAAUCUGAGAAUUUGAACAAAAGAAUAGUGCUUUUGUAAUCUUCUAGGAAGUCUUGUUCUGCCUACAAGUUGAAAGAAAUCACCGGAAGCACCGCGACAGGGCCCCCGACGUGGUCGUCACCAAGGCCAGGGACCGUGUCAAAGAGUUUUAUAUGUUUGAGAUUAUAAGUAUAGACGGAGGAGCAUCAAAGAGUUGCAGAAGAUGCUUCACAGAUGCAACGAGCAACUUCGACAGUUAAGUCAUGUAAACAAGAAAGCACUUGAUCAGUACGUGAACUUCACAAAGCAAAGGAAGUGAGUAUCUCACAUGAACCGUGUCUUUAGUUUUGUUCAAUAUUUAUAUGAUGGAGAUUGUCGCUAAAAGCCGGAUAUUCUUUUUUGAUUCAUUUCUGUCGUCAUUGUUUAUUGUGCAAGAUUAGUUAUUAUGCAAGAUUAUUUAUUCUCUCAUUAUGUGUACUAUAAAGAAAAAUAUUUAUGUCA